UCUCCUCUGUGCUCUCCCAAGGCAUUAGACACAGAAUGGUCUGAAUGUGAGCCUACAAUAGUGGAGAUAAAUGGGAUUUGAAGCACAGGCUAUAAGGAGUGGCAGUCAUUAGACAGUAAGUGAGGCAAGCGAGUUGUUAGGACAUGAGCAGUGCUAGUCGUUAGGAAAGGAUGGAGGGAGAGAGAUGGAGCGAUGGAGGGAAGGAAGGAGGCCACUGGCUGUUUGUUCUAGGACUAAGUGCUGGAUAAUGAGAUCAGACUGACAUGACCCGGCCCCACAGCUAAGAGAGACAGCUUUGCAGCUACACCCCCCUCCACUCCGAUCCCUAACUCUCCAUCCCAUUCCCUUUGUCUUACACAUACUUCCUCCUUCUGUCUCUGCUCCUGCCUCUCUCUCGUCCAAACUCUCCUACUCGUGCACGAGCAGCAGCUGCAGCAUUGCAAGUGGCACGUGAGAUCUAAAGUAGAUCCAGUGGCGGAGCAAUCUGAGUACAGAAGUCUCCCUCAAGUCCGGUCGCAGCUGUGGAUACAUUCCUUCUAUAGCUCCACUGCAAAGACACACAAUAUAAUAUUCCAACUCUCAUAAAACCGUUGUUUGGUUCCAGUUCUUACUGAACACCAGACCGACAGCAACGGGACUUGGAAACGCUCCGCACGCCUCAGCGUCGGCCAUUUUGGUGCCUGCUUGCAGGACUCGCUGGACUUCCGUGACUUCUCCCAGUUCCUCGGUGGAGCGGCAUCGCAGCAACUGCAGAAUGCAGAGCUGCUCCUCGCUGCCUCUGGAGCUUCCCAGCACUCGCAUAGCAACAAUGACAGGAUGCUGCUGGGAAGGGUUAAGAAUCCUCACUUCGCAGCAGCUGUGAACUGUGAUUAUGAGCUCCUGAGUCACGUCGCUGAAGGAUGGACGGCGAAGCCACCGGACGAAUCCUCGCCAUAAAUUUGAGUUCACAACCUGUCGGCUCCAAAGGUCACUGCUUUCGGCGCCUCGGAGGCCGACGCGUGAGGAAGCCUCGCUUCUCCAAAGCUGUCUGACGUUAUUAGAUCUGUGCUGCCUGGCUCUGAGUCACCUCUGACGCACCAAGAGAGGGUUUGAACCCCACAGCUCCACAUUAGGCUCGCUGUUGAUACUUUAUUUAUUAAUUUAUUUGAUUGUAUAAACACAUAUUUGUGCACAACAAAAAAAUUUAAGUAAAUUCACUCUUUGCUUUUCUUAGAAGUGAAUGUAAUGAUAUUAAUGCCAGUAAUUUAGACAGCUUUUUUUAUUGGACUAAACAAUAAAACCACUCAUAAAUCCA
rnacentral:lncRNA from 1 species